rnacentral:rRNA from 1 species
ACGAACGCUGGCGGCGUGCUUAACCCAUGCAAGUCGUACGGAAAGGCCCUGCUUUUGUGGGGUGCUCGAGUGGCGAACGGGUGAGUAACACGUGAGUAACCUGCCCUUGACUUUGGGAUAACUUCAGGAAACUGGGGCUAAUACCGGAUAGGAGCUCCUGCUGCAUGAUGGGGGUUGGAAAGUUUCGGCGGUUGGGGAUGGACUCGCGGCUUAUCAGCUUGUUGGUGGGGUAGUGGCUUACCAAGGCUUUGACGGGUAGCCGGCCUGAGAGGGUGACCGGCCACAUUGGGACUGAGAUACGGCCCAGACUCCUACGGGAGGCAGCAGUGGGGAAUAUUGCACAAUGGGCGGAAGCCUGAUGCAGCAACGCCGCGUGCGGGAUGACGGCCUUCGGGUUGUAAACCGCUUUCGCCUGUGACGAAGCGUGAGUGACGGUAAUGGGUAAAGAAGCACCGGCUAACUACGUG